GCCAAUAUGUUGCCUUUAUCUGCAUUUGCACCUGCAUCUUUUGCGUUUGUUUUGUUUUUGACUCCACAAACAAAAUCAAGUUCUGUCGAUACAGUAUGUGGGACAAUUAGAUAUGGAAACUAAUAAGCUUAGUUGAGGUGCAGGUGCAAGUGCAGGUGAAUGCCAUUUUGGU
rnacentral:pre_miRNA from 13 species